GAUGAACGCUGGCGGCGUGCCUAAUACAUGCAAGUCGAGCAAACAGGUGAGGAGCUUGCUCCUCUGACGUUAGCGGCGGACGGGUGAGUAACACGUGGAUAACCUACCUAUAAGACUGGGAUAACUUCGGGAAACCGGAGCUAAUACCGGAUAAUAUAUUGAACCGCAUGGUUCAAUAGUGAAAGACGGUUUUGCUGUCACUUAUAGAUGGAUCCGCGCCGCAUUAGCUAGUUGGUAAGGUAACGGCUUACCAAGGCAACGAUGCGUAGCCGACCUGAGAGGGUGAUCGGCCACACUGGAACUGAGACACGGUCCAGACUCCUACGGGAGGCAGCAGUAGGGAAUCUUCCGCAAUGGGCGAAAGCCUGACGGAGCAACGCCGCGUGAGUGAUGAAGGUCUUCGGAUCGUAAAACUCUGUUAUUAGGGAAGAACAAAUGUGUAAGUAACUAUGCACGUCUUGACGGUACCUAAUCAGAAAGCCACGGCUAACUACGUG
rnacentral:rRNA from 1 species